AGAGUUUGAUCCUGGCUCAGAACGAACGCUGGCGGCGUGCCUAACACAUGCAAGUCGAACGUGAUCCAGAGCUUGCUCUGGUGAAAGUGGCGCACGGGUGAGUAACGCGUGGAUAACCUACCCUGGUAUCCGGGAUAACAUUCCGAAAGGGGUGCUAAUACCGGAUAAGCCCACGGGCUCUUUGGAGCUUGCGGGAAAAGGUGGCCUCUAUUUAUAAGCUACUGUAUCAGGAUGGGUCCGCGUACCAUUAGCUAGUUGGUGAGGUAACGGCUCACCAAGGCUUCGAUGUUUAACUGGUCUGAGAGGAUGAUCAGCCACACUGGAACUGAGACACGGUCCAGACUCCUACGGGAGGCAGCAGUAGGGAAUAUUGCGCAAUGGGGGAAACCCUGACGCAGCCACGCCGCGUGAGUGAUGAAGGCCUUUGGGUCGUAAAGCGCUGUCGUAAGGGAAGAAAUGAUAUAGUGCCAAUAGGCCUUAUGUUUGAUGGUACAUUCAAAGGAAGCCCCGGCUAACUUCGUGCCAGCAGCCGCGGUAAUACGAAGGGGGCGAGCGUUGUUCGGAAUUACUGGGCGUAAAGAGCGUGUAGGCGGUCUAAUUAGUCAGCUGUGAAAUCCCGGGGCUCAACCCCGGAACUGCAGUUGAUACUGUUAGGCUUGAGUGCGGAAGAGGUGAGUGGAAUUCCUAGUGUAGAGGUGAAAUUCGUAGAUAUUAGGAGGCACACCAGUGGCGAAGGCGGCUCACUGGUCCGUAACUGACGCUGAGACGCGAAAGCGUGGGGAUCAAACAGGAUUAGAUACCCUUGUAGUCCACGCCGUAAACGAUGAGUACCAGCUGUAUAAUAUAAAGUUACCUGCUGUGGCGCAGUUAACACGUUGAGUACUCCGCCUGGGAAGUACGGUCGCAAGACUAAAACUCAAAGGAAUUGACGGGGGCCCGCACAAGCGGUGGAGCAUGUGGUUUAAUUCGACGCAACGCGCAGAACCUUACCUGGGUUUGACAUCCUUGGCCCGCUUUAGAGAUAAAGUUUUCCCUUCGGGGACCAAGUGACAGGUGCUGCAUGACUGUCGUCAGCUCGUGUCGUGAGAUGUUGGGUUAAGUCCCGCAACGAGCGCAACCCCCACCAUUAGUUGCCAUCAUUUAGUUGGGCACUUUAAUGGGACUGCCGGCGUUAAGCCGGAGGAAGGUAGGGAUGACGUCAAGUCCUCAUGGCCCUUAUAUCCGGGGCUACACACGUGCUACAAUGGCAACUACAAAGAGCAGCUAAACCGCGAGGUCAUGCGAAUCUCAUAAAGCCGGCCUCAGUUCGGAUUGGAGUCUGCAACUCGACUCCAUGAAGUUGGAAUCGCUAGUAAUCGCGGAUCGGCAUGCCGCGGUGAAUACGUUCCCGGGCCUUGUACACACCGCCCGUCACACCACGGGAGUCGGUUGGUCCCGAAGUGCGUGAGCUAACCCCUCGGGGAGGCAGCGUCCUAAGGAAUGGCCGGUGACUGGGGUGAAGUCGUCCCAAGGUAGCCGUA
rnacentral:rRNA from 1 species